GUUGAAUUAACAUCUGGGAUAUAUAUAAAUAAGCCAUAUACUCCUUUAAUUGCUACAAAAAUAACCAAUUUUAUUUUCUUUUCAUUGUUUAAGCACAAUGUGCAGAGCACUGUCAUCUAAACGAUGUUUUGCAAAAUGCACUGACAUGUUCUGAAAUAAUGUCAUUGAGUAUCAGCUAAAAUUAAGACAUAAAGGGCUUCAUUAAUAGCGUCAACAAUGAUAAAAUCUAACCCCAAUCACACAACUAAAGCAAAAGACAAGCGAAGGUACAGGAUUUCAACAG
rnacentral:misc_RNA from 1 species